GAUGAACGCUGGCGGCGUGCCUAAUACAUGCAAGUCGAGCGAACAGAUCAUUAGCUUGUUGCACUCUCGUUAGCGGCGGACGGGCGAGUAACACGAAGGUAACCUACCUAUACGCCUUAGAUAACUUCGGGAAACCGGAGCUAAUACCGGUUAAUAUAUUUAAUCGCAUGGUUCAAUAGUGAAAGACGGUUUUGCUGUCGCUUAUAGAUGGAUCUGCGCCGCAUUAGCUAGUUGGCAAGGUAACGGCAUACCAAGGCAACGAUGCGUAGCCGACCUGAGAGGGUGGGAAGCCACACCAGAUCUGAGCCACGGUCCAGACUCCUACGGGAGGCAGCAGUGGGGAAAGUACUGCAGUGGGCGGAAGCCUGGCGGGGCACAGCCGCGUGGGUGAUGAAGGUCUUCGGAUCGUAAAACUCUGUUAUUAGGGUAGAACGAAUGUGUAAGGAACUAGGCACGACUUGACGGUACCUAAUGAGAAAGCCACGGCUAACUACGUG
rnacentral:rRNA from 1 species